GGCCGAAACGCCGUGAAAAAUUUUCUUGCGGCGUCAUAUCUAGGUGAUGCUAGAUAUCUGAUGAUGGCAGUCAAAA
rnacentral:hammerhead_ribozyme from 1 species